AUGGCUGUUGGUGCCAGACCGGCAGUUCUGUGUGUUCCACAAACUGCUGAUCCACUGGGAUUUUCACACAUUACCAUGUCCUGGGUUUACAGAGAUUGGAGCAACAUGGGAAAUAUCCAGUGAGCAGCAGUUAGGUAGGGGGGAAAAAUGCCUUGUUGAUGUGAUGGGUACCCGGGGAGUGGGUAGACUGGUCCGAGAUGAAAGCUGCUUAAAUAACCACUCGUUACAACCAAGGUACGCUGUACUGCAUUUCUGAAUGCACUACAGGUCCAACCUUGAUGCAGGCGCCUUACAACAGCAUGAAUCCACAUUGGGCGGCCAGUCCUCUGUGCUAAGAGCGGGAAACUGAGGCCAUAAUUCACACAAGCUCUACAGUUCACAAAUGGGAAAUACCAGAUUGGAAAGAUGUUGCCUGGGUUUAAGCUGCUGCUGCUGGUGGUGUAAUGGUGUAGGACACACUUUAGUGUGGGACCAUCUUCUGACGGCUACUUCCAGAGGGAUAAUGCACCAUAAGUCACAAAGCUCAAAUCAUCCCAGACCAGUUUCCCCAACGAUGACAAGGAGUUCACUGUCCCCUGUGGCCUCCAGUCGCCAGAUCUGGAGUAACUUUGGGAUGUGAUGGAACGGGACGUUUGCAUCGUGGAUUUGCGGCAGAGCAAUCAGCAAAAACUGUGAACUUAUGGCGUCAAAGUGGACGAAUCGACCGUGCCGUACCUAUGCCGUGAAACAUUAAAACAGUCCUCAAGGUAAAAGGAAGCCCAAAGCAGUACUAGCGAGAUGUACCUAAUAAAAUAUCCGGUGAACGGAAAGCUCCACCCGACAUUCUAAUUUAUGGGAACGUUGUACUAAGGGGCAGAAUUGAAUGAAAAAGUAUGAAAACAAUUGAUUUUAAACAAAUUAGUUAAACAUCAU